CAGUCGCCACGGUAAAACGUAGGGGGCAAGCGUUGUCCGGAAUUAUUGGGCGUAAAGCGCGCGCAGGUGGUUUAAUAAGUCUGAUGUGAAAGCCCACGGCUCAACCGUGGAGGGUCAUUGGAAACUGUUAAACUUGAGUGCAGGAGAGAAAAGUGGAAUUCCUAGUGUAGCGGUGAAAUGCGUAGAGAUUAGGAGGAACACCAGUGGCGAAGGCGGCUUUUUGGCCUGUAACUGACACUGAGGCGCGAAAGCGUAGGGAGCAAACAGGAUUAGAUACCCCUGUAGUCCCUGUCUCUUAUAU
rnacentral:rRNA from 1 species